rnacentral:rRNA from 1 species
CUCGGCAACGGAUAUCUUGGCUCUCGCAUCGAUGAAGAACGCAGCAAAAUGCGAUACUUGGUGUGAAUUGCAGAAUCCCGUGAACCAUCGAGUUUUUGAACGCAAGUUGCGCCCGAAGCUAUUAUGCCUAGGGCACGUCUGCCUGGGCGUCACGCACAU